rnacentral:rRNA from 1 species
GACGAAGGGGGCUAGCGUUGUUCGGAAUUACUGGGCGUAAAGCGCGUGUAGGCGGUUGCCCAAGUCGGGUGUGAAAGCCUUGAGCUCAACUCAAGAAAUGCACUCGGUACUGGGUGACUAGAGGACCGGAGAGGAUAGUGGAAUUCCCAGUGUAGUGGUGAAAUACGUAGAGAUUGGGAAGAACGCCAGUGGCGAAGGCGGCUAUCUGGACGGUUUCUGACGCUAAGACGCGAAAGCGUGGGGAGCAAACAGG